CUAUAUUAUAGUAAUAGGAUUAAGCGGUAGAGACUUUGCUCUUUCCUGACUAUCUAGAGUUGUUGAUAGGUAAAUGACGUAGUUCCUUAUUUGGGAGAGUCUCCCACGGAGUGUUGUAUGAUAUAUAAGAUUGUGUUUUAGGUUAAUAAAAAGUUCUCCAUUCUGGCCUUGAUUACGAGCGCCUGUUGUGUACCAACGCGGCACGUUACAAUUUGGUGGCAGCGGCGGGAUAAUGAUCGAAGACGCGCAAUAGCCGCAAUCAAGGCCAUGGUUUUAAGACAAGAGUAAGACAAACCGAGCGGGCAAUCCGGCGGAGAAUGCAGUCAAACGUUUGGCGUCGCAAGUUGCCGCAAGUUGGACUGUGUUCUGUUCAGUGGAAUAGGUGGACUGAGAGGAGUCCAGAUUGUCGAUGUUGGUCGAGCGGCGAUCUUACCAAGACCAAACAAGGACUGUCCAGAAAACUGAGUAGAAAGUACUAAAUAAGUAAACGCCAACCAAAACUGAAUUGAACUGUCUGUGUGUGAGUUAUGUGUUUCCUUUCCUGUAUGCUGUGUAUUUUGACUUUUGAGUUUGAAAAUUUCCCGUGUUGUGCACUUGUGCUGUGUAUGAAUCAUCAGAAGUAAAUCGUCUAUCCAGUGUCACCUGGCAAGAAUAUGUUUCCUACCAGCUGUGAAGUCCUGGCGUUUUCUGCGUUGGUUCAUCCCUUCUACAGUUUUAUUUGACUUUCGUGUGAACUGAUAAUUAUGUUAUAUGUAUUGUUGCUUUCAAGACAUUUUAUAUCUUUAAAUUAGUGAACUUAUAUUUGUUGCGCGCGUGAACGGUAUAUAUCAUAGUAGCUUCGAUGGAAGCACAAAAAAAAGCACAAAAAAAAAUAGAGAUGUUAAAGACAGUUAUGUUGGCAGAGAUAGCGUAAGUCCGGUAGUAUAAAAGAAACGGCAGACCAACGAUAGAGUAGCUGUAGCCUUGUAGUAAUUAUGAUGUAAGUGAGCACAAGUGAUGCCGGAAAUAGUCCUGUAGAGUAGGGACAAAGAAAAAAUAUUUAAGAAAAUAUGUGCUCGAAGUGCUAGUUAAGUGAUAUGGUGUUACCUGGCGAUUUAUUUUUUUUGUAUUUUUGGCUUGUCGUUUAUAACAAUAAGUGAAGGGAUAUUGUGGCGUUCAUAGGUGUAAGAAUAUUCUUACAAAUGAUUUUUAAGAAUAUUCUUACAAAUGAAAAUCGCCUAAAGCUACGUUUACACGCUGCGAUUUGUCGGGCCGAUUUUGGUAAAUAAUCGAUGCCCCUUCUUCGACAUUUAGCGAUUUAAACGUUCAAUUGAAGCUGUCCGCUCUCUCGUCUGUUUAUAUUAUAGUUUUCUGCGUGCGAAAAGUUUUCAACAACUUUACAACAGAAGAAAAAUCGUUGAAUCGUGAGAAAAAUCUGUGUUUUGUUGCAGAUUUUUCUCCCGAUUUUGUGAAUCGCAAGGUGCUGACGCGAGUACUCACGACAGGUUAUUUACAUACAGCGAGCAAAAUCGGCCCGACAAAUCGCAGCGUGUAAACGUACCUAAGUGUG
rnacentral:lncRNA from 1 species